rnacentral:rRNA from 1 species
CGAAGGUGGCAAGCGUUGUUCGGAUUUACUGGGCGUACAGGGAGCGUAGGCGGUUCGGUAAGCCCUCUGUGAAAUCUCCAGGCUUAACCUGGAACAGCCGGAGGGGACUGCUGGGCUAGAGGACGGGAGAGGAGCGCGGAAUUCCCGGUGUAGCGGUGAAAUGCGUAGAGAUCGGGAGGAAGGCCGGUGGCGAAGGCGGCGCUCUGGAACGUUUCUGACGCUGAGGCUCGAAAGCGUGGGGAGCAAACAGGAUUAGAUACCCUGGUAGUCCACGCCUUAAACUAUGAAUACUAAGUGUCGGCGGGUUACCGCCGGUGCCGCAGCUAACGCAUUAAGUAUUCCGCCUGGGAAGUACGGCCGCAAGGUUG